rnacentral:lncRNA from 1 species
GCGUGUACCCAGCAGCAUCCAGAGCCCACCUGGAGGGAACAGCUCCCUGCUGUGUGUGGCCUCAGCCAUGUUUCCUCCUCUGGUCCAGUUCUCCUGGAAAAGACAGAAGAAGAACGGCGGAGAACCGGAGGAGCUGCCCCUGCUGAGGGAGAGCAGCUGGAGCUCAGACAGACGGGACAGGUGGUAGCCAUAAGGGUGGUUGAUCGUGAUGAUCUCUUCACAUACAUGUACAGAUGCUACCUCAAACAUGAGGGGGGCACAGUGGAGACUCCAACACAACAAGAAGUUUCUGCCUGGUAUCAGAAGUUUCUACAAUGUGUGAAGCUGCUCUGCCUGCUGUACACAGUGCUGAUAGUGAAGAGUCUGGUGUACUGCUGUGGACUCUCUCUGCUGAUGAUCCUCACAAACAAGGGACCGUCCACCAACUGCACACAUGCUGACUGACUGUUUUCUGCUCACCUUUUCUCACCAUCAGAUCUCAUCAAUUCAUCUCAUUCAUCACUUUGAUCAGUAUCACAAAUGUUAGUUAUGAUGUGUUGUGCUUAUUUUGGCUUUUGAUUCAAUAGUUAGAAGAUCAUCUGAAAUAAAUACAUCUUUACAUGUAUUGUUACUCUGAGUUAGAAUUCUUUUUGUACUUAUUGUGACUUUUAUUGUAGUAACAAAAAUCAUCAGGUAUAUUUUUAUCACAAGUUUUCUGUUUGAUUUGUUUUUGGUUGAUUUUCAAAUGUCAAACAGUGUAGUUGUGUUUGUAAGUGUGAAUAAUAAAGAUUUCAAGAUGAAGAAUUUGAUUCUACUUUCAUUGUGUGAUAAACAACAACCCGUGUGAGUGAACCACAAACUGACUAUAUCCAAACUUGCUCUCCUGCAGCAGACGGGCUGUGUGGGUUUCUGCUCUGCAGCCUCCACACCGUUAGCUGUGGCUUUUCACUUUAAUAACACAAUGACAGUUACAAGCAUGAACUCUGCUUAAAGAAUGAUUCCAGGAAGGAUCUGUGUUCUUCACCUGUGAGAGAAACAGCUCAAAUCCUCAACUCAGAGCUGACAAAUGAACUUUAAUGGAAUCAAAGCAGAGACCAUGAAGCCCCUGCAGUCUGCUCAGCUCCCAUUUUAUUACAGAGUUUGAGACUAAACACAAGAUGAAGACGAAAUAUGA